GUGAGUAAACCACAGGCUGGGAGCCUGCAAUCUGUGACAGUCUUGGUUGAAUUUAAUCACUGAAUUAGUUUUGUUGUGUGCAUUUUUACUUUCUACUUGUGGCAAGUUGUGCUAGUUUCUAUGUAUGACUGCAAUAUUAAUUUUUCUAUUUAAGCAAAUUUUCUUUUCCUAACAUGAAUUGAUUUAAGGAUAGGCCUUGAGCAAAUAACGUACAAAAGAGAGGGGAAUUUAGUCCUAAUCAUGAAAAUGGUUUGGGAGUAAAUAAAAUUUGAGAAACUGAGCGCUAAUGGAGAGCUGGUUUCCCAAAGAGAAAGGGCACCUUGGCUUUGCACCCCUGUGGGAACACCUGAGCACUGAUGUGGUGACUCAGUGGGGUAGGAUACGUGUUCCUGGCUGGUUCUGAAGGGGAGACUAGAAAAUGGGGAGGAAGCAGACCAUGUGACCUCAGCUCUGCUUGAACAAGGUUCCUGUCUCUCCUGUCCAUCCUGGCUUCUCCAUCCCUGGAACACAGCCUGGCACACAGAAGAUUCCCAGUAAGUAUUUAUUGACUAAACAAAUGCAAGGGAGAAUGACUAUACAUAAAACUUUCGAGCCAGUUCUAUCAUUUCCAAUAUGAACAUCAAAGUAUUGCCCAAAAUAGAAGGGUCUUCUGGGGGCAUCCAGGGCAACCUCAUCAUUGCACAAAUGGGCAGUGGAAGCCCAACAGGAAGAAGGUAUUUGCUCCAGCCACACAGUCAGUGUCUGGGAAAAGCAGGGCCAAGAACUAGGACUUCCCUUCUGUGAUCAUUCUUGCCAACACACCAGUCUGUCACUUCUGUUAUGCGCCCACAUGAAUGACCUCAGCCCAGGCAGGCAGUGCUGCAGGCAGAGUGGGGGCAGACAGCAAACCAGACUCCUGGCACCCAGCCUAUGCUGGAAGAGGUAGAAAGUCCCCUGCUCGGAGGCUGCACAGAGGUUUUCUGUAUCGUGUAGGUCAAACUGGACCACACCAAGGCAGCCUGUCUCUCCUGGGCCUCUGACACUGGGCACCCUCAUUCUUGGUUAGGGUGAAUCCUUCCUUUAUGCAUCAAGUCCACCUUUGCUGUAGGGAAAAGAAAGAGAGAUCAGACUGUUGCUGUGUCUAUGUAGAAAGGGAAGACAUAAGAAACUCCAUUUUGACCUGUACCCUGAACAAUUGCUUUGCCCUGAGAUGCUGUUAAUCUGUAACUUUGCCCCAGCCUUGAGCUCACAAAAACAUGUGUUGUAUGGAAUCAAGGUUUAAGGGAUCUAGGGCUGUGCAGGAUGUGCCUUGUUAACAAAAUGUUUACAGGCAGUGUGCUUGGUAAAAGUCAUCGCCAUUCUCCAGUCUCGAUAAACCAGGGGCACAAUGCACUGCAGAAAGCUGCAGGGACCUCUGCUCUGGAAAGCCAGGUAUUGUCCAAGGUUUCUCCCCAUGUGAUAGCCUGAGAUAUGGCCUCAUGGGAUGGGAAAGACCUGACUGUCCCCCAGCCCAACACCCAUGAAGGGUCUGUGCUGAGGAGGAUUAGUAAAAGAGGAAGGCCUCUUGCAGUUGAGAUAGAGGAAGGCCUGUUUCUCCUGCCCGCUCCUGGCAGGAGAAACUCGGUAUAAAACUCGGUAUAAAACUCAAUUGUACAUUUGUUCAAUUCUAAGAUAAGAGAAAAACUGCCCUGCGGUAGGAGGCGAGACAUGUUGGCAGCAAUGCUGCUUUAUUAUUCUUUACUCCACUGAGAUGUUUGGUGGACAGAAACAUAAAUCUGGCCUACGUGCACAUCCAGGCAUAGUACCUUCCCUUGAACUUAUUUGUGACACAGAUUCCUUUGCUCACAUGUUCUCUUGCUGACCUUCUCCCCACUAUCGCCCUGCUCUCCUACUGCAUUCCUCUUGCUGACAUAGUGAAAAUAGUAAUCAAUAAAUACUGAGGGAACUCAGAGACCAGUGUCGGUGCAGGUCCUCCGUAUGCUGAGCGCCGGUCCCCUGGGCCCACUUUUCUUUCUCUAUAUUUUCUCUCUGUGUCUUAUUUCUUUUCUCAGUCUCUCAUGCCACCUGACGAGAAUUACCCACAAGUGUGGAGGGGCUGGCCCUCUUCAUUUGCAUGGGCAUUUCCCAGGCUAAAGCCUCCAGAGGACUGUGCAGCAGAGAUCUCAGAGAGGCGAACCAUAAAACCCACUGUCUCAGCCUCCCGGGAGGCUGGCUGUGACCCCUGCCAGCGCCACUGGCACCGCUAGUCACCCUUACCCACUCCACUUAAUGUCUCUUCUCUUCUCUCCUCUCCUUUCUUUUUUAACGGAGUCUUGUUCUGUCACCCAGGCUGGAGCGCAGUGGUGCCAUCUUGGCUCACUGCAACCUCUGCCUCCUAGGUUCAAGUGAUUCUCCUGCCUCAGCCUCCCAAUUAGCUGGGAUUACAGGUGCAUGCCACCAUGCCUGGCUAAUUUCUGUAUUUUUAGUAAAGACGGGGUUUCCCCAUAUUGGCCAGGCUGGUAUGUCCUUAUUUCUUGAUCACACCUAUUGUUAAUUUCCUGCCUCUCCCGAGUAACACGAGACCUCUGCAAGGGCAAGGAUCUUUCUAUAUUUUAUUCACAAAACCCUAAAACCCCUCUUUGUCCCCGCAUGGAGAGGACACUCAGUGAAUAUUUGUUGAAUGGAUGGAUGAACUGAUGGGAUAAAUAAAAGCCACAAGUGUUCGGGGGAUUUGUAUUUGCUCCUACCUCUGUGGCAGUCUAGCUGUGGGACCUUGUGCAAUUGAUGUGAUCUUCCUAAGCCUCCGUUUUCUCAUCAGUAAAAUGGGAUGGUCACACCAACCGGAAGGGUUGUGGGCCAGUGAGAUGGGGAAAGCACUUGUGUCGUGUCAGGCUUUGAUAGGCAUCUAGGAAGUGUCGGUUAUGUCAAAAUCAAAAUCCAGUCAUUCAUACACUCAUUUAUUCACAAGGUUGGUCAGCCCACAAAUAUGUGACCUGGGAAGGCUUCUGAGAAGGAGAAGGGGUGAACCCUCUCUGAAAGACUGAGUAACAUGCUGGAAGGAAGUCGUGGGAGUGGGAGAGGAUGAGGAGCAAGGAGAGCAUCCAGGCAGGGUGGGAAGAUGUAGGGAGGUGGCACACAGACCUACAAGAAGGAGCAGGCAUGGUCACAUCCUAGUGGGCAGGCCUGCGGGACUAAGGCAUGUGACUCCCCUCCCAGAGGAGAGGGGAGCUUUGGAGGGGGCUGACCGUGUCUGGACAAGGAUGAUUAGCAGGGCAGUUUUUCUUUCCAGCAAAUACGUGUUGGGUGUGUGCUCUGUGGCAGGUACCGGCCUGGGUAUGGGGGAUACAAGGACACAAGUCUGCAGGCAGAGGGACAUAAAACACAUGGGCUUUCCUGAGUCACUCUCAAACUGCACACCUGCUGAAGCCCGCCAGAGUUCUUCAAUUAAAGACCAGCAUCCCUCUGUGGCCCAUGAGUUCCCACCUACCUCUUGGCCCCGCUCCCACCCCUUCUUGCUUACUGAUCUCAUUUCAGCUCCUCACCCGUGCCACUCCUGACCUCAGGACCUUUGCACAUGCUGUUCUCGCUGCUUGGUGGGGCCUCCCUGGGCUCCCACCCUCAUUUCUUCCUCUUUUUUUUUUCUUUUUCAAAAUAGAAUUUAUUUGUGCAGUGAAUAAUACAAAUGUGGCUAUGAAAGCAGAACAUGAUAUUUAAAAAUAUUUAAGGUAUGCAACAGUCAUUUUAAAAACAGAAUUAGUUAAAAGGAAGAUGAAUAAAGAACUCGAGCUUAUGCCUGAUUUCUAUUGGUAUACUUAGAAAUACCAAUCAGUAUUUAACAUAUUAUUAACUAUGCUGGAAAAAACACCUCUAUAUGCAGUUUUAAUUCCUAACUACAGUUUAAAAACAGAUGAGUUCCCAGCAUUUGGAGCUCCUCCUAAAUAUUACAUCCUGGGGAAGCCUUUCUUGGGCCCCCGGACUGGACGCGACCUGUGACAUGCGACCCCCGGACUGGACACGACCCUUCUGUGACACCCUUUGCAAGCUCUGCGAUGUCUCCUUCACUGUGCCCACUGCAGCUCAUGACAAACAUGUGUUUAUUGGAUUCAUGGUGGCUUCCCUCACUGAUUAUUAACCCCAGGAAGGCAGAAACCGGUCUACAUAUAUCAACAAUGAGCUCAGAGAUUGCAGCCCAGAAGUCAUCAUUUAAUGGAGGACUGACUGCAGCCCACAGGGGGCUGGAGGGAACAUUCAGACCCACCUGCCAUCGCCAUGCAUGGAUGUAAGGGUUUUGGAAGGCUGCUUGGAAGAGGCUGCUUGGGAGAUGUUGGAAAGGUAGAGAAGAGUUCAUAAAGAGGUCCUAGUGGCCUGGGUAUUAAAGGGUGAGGAAGAGUUUGUUAGGCUGGAGGAGGGAAUUCCCAUUAGAGGAGAUGGUAGAAGCACUGGAGGGGGCUGGUGGAGGACCGCAGCAGGGGCUCUCUACUGCAUGCCCACGUGCCAGGCACAAUGGCCAUGCAAGCUCACGUGAUCCUCAGAGGUAGAUAGGUAGAUAGAGGGUAUUAGUCUCUAGCUUAGCCGCUGGAGGUAGAUAUUAUGAUCCUCUCUCAAUAAAUGAAGCGGCUAAGGCUCAGAAAGGUUUAGUGAUAUGCCCAGGUCACCUGGCCACUCGGUGGCUUUCCUGGCAGUGUCACUUCCCCAGUGUCAUAUGUUGCGCACCUGAGACCGUAGCUAAGGGUUUCUGUGUCUUUCUAUACCCACCCCUCAGGCUGGGGCAGGGGAAAUGAUGUCGGCAAAGGGCUCGGCCGGGAUUCCCAGCCUUUUUCCCACGUCUGUGUCCCUGUGCGGGGUCUCAACCUUCUCCCUCACCCCCACCCUCUCGAAAAGGGGCUGCGCACCCUGGGCUCCUGGGCUCAGCCCUCACCACCGUCCACUUGCCCUGCCCCUCCCCCAUCACCCGCAGGCAGCCUUCUCCACCAGCCUUUGGGGACUCUUGCCUUCCUGCCCCAAACCAGAAGAUGGGGCACUUGCUGCAUGUGGCUAACCCUGAGGCCACGAGAAAGCCACGUCACCUCUCUGAGCCUCAGUUUCCAUGUCUGUUAUAGGGACGCCCACUCUGGCUGCUCUGAGAGCACCUGUGACCAGAACACAAAGGACACCAUGAGCUGCAAACUGCUAAACACGCCCGGGAAAUGAUAAGUAGUGCCAGUCGAGGCUCCUCAGUGCCAAGCCAGCCAGUAUCCUCUCCUCUCCAAACACCGAAAGCCCUGGGAAUUCCCUGGAGGAGAGGAAGGAACCAGAUGCCUGAAAUGAGCUUGCCCCAGGCCGGGAAGCUGUGCGCGGCCCUGCGAGCACCUGGUGCCCUCUAGUGGCCACAGGCGGCCCUGCAGGGCCACAUUUUCUGGGGAGGGCGCAGAGACCCCACUCACUCUUCAAUUGAACUUGCUAACAGGUUUAAACUGCAGGAUCUGCCUUUGACAACAAGAUAAGGAGGGGACAGGGGAGGGAGGGUGCCAGGAUGUUCUUUUUGUGCCAGAAAUGGACAAAGCUGGCGGCUACUAAUAGACUUCGUCCUUCUAAUGCUGCCCGAGGGGCUGGACUGGCCCCGUCCCUGUUUCCCCAUCCGCCUGGAUUCCUGGCUGAGCCCAGAGCUCCCACGUGGACACUCUGGGGCGGAUCAUUGGCCAAGGACUCACAGAGUUGGGACCGACUUUGUUAAAGCACUGAACUAGCUUCCUUGGAGCCCCAAAGGGAGGGGCGGGACCUUCACUUCAGAAAUAAGAAGACAGACUCAGAGAGGGUUUGUGGCUUUCCCAAAGAUACCUCAUUCCAGGAUUUGAACCCCAGUCUCUCACUCGAGACCCCAGGGUUAACAAUCUUUCCCAGGAAGAGCACGGAAGGUAUUUUCUCGCUGUAAAUCAGCAGCAGAUAGGGUUUGUCUAUCUUGACGACGAGUGGUGUCUCCAUGGGCAGAGUCUGUGCUCCGGUGCCAGCGGCCCCUUCCGUACCCCUCUCAUCCAUCUUCAGCUCAGCCUUGUGCACAGCCUACGGAAGCCAAGGGCAAAGUCAAGGUCUGCCAAGCUCCUUGGCGACCACAGUGGGCCGGAGGCCCAGAGAGGAUCAGAGAGGAAGACCACUUGGCCCAAGCCAUCCAGCACAGCAGUAACUUGGUUUACUCCAGGGUUCCUGGCUCUUUCGCCAUUAAUGCUGGAGAAUAUUCGACAAGCAGAUGCCGUGUGAAGGAAAAGAUGGUGCAGGGGGAGCAUCAGUUACGGGAGUCGGUGGGGGGAGAGAUGGAGUGGGGUUUGCUUCUCUUUCUCAUGGGUUACAGGGAAGCAUCAACCAUAGCCGUGGCAGAAAGGUCUACUGGGCUGUAGCUGGGUGAAAGUGAGGUGGUGGUACCCCCACCCUGAAGCCUCCAGCACCUCCUUUCAUCCACCUGGUGGAUGGUUAAGAGGGAGAAGGAUUCUGGAUUAGCUCUUUGAGAUGACUUGCAUCCCAAAUCCACUCCAAAGGCAUCAACGUCUGUAAACAGGUGAUCAGUACUGGGAAACUAACGGGCAUGUGUGAAAUCCUGGCACAUUUCUUGCUAGCCUACAAAAUUCUCACAAUUUUACUUGCAGAAAACAGGACAGUAUCCUGUGUUACAAUCACAGCUAUCAGCAAACGUAACUACAGAAAGAAAUGAGCCAUUAAACUCAACAAGACCUUCAGAGCUGGUGUUAAAUGUUUGUGGGAAGUCUGUGGCAGGAAAGCUCAAAAGUGAGAAAAUUCUAGUAACUAUGUUUCUUAUGUCAACGUGAAAAAUACAGUGGAAUCUGUGCCAUCUGAUUCAGAGCAGCGGGCUCAGCUUGGCAAGCUGGAUCCUUCCCAGACUGGCUUGAACCUCCCACUUUAUCUCCACUAAGCACCCAAUCCCCACCACCCACUACUCCAUGAUAUCCAAAAACCCCCAGCCUUGGCCACACUGCUGCACCCAUCCCCGCACCCAUCUCUGCUUGUUGAAAUCUUUCCCCUCCUUCAAUGCCUUUUUAACCCCAAAGUAGGGUUGCCAGGUGAAAUACAGGACAUCCACUGAAAUUUGAAUUCAAGAUAAACAAUGAAUAUGUUUUAGUGUAAGUGUGUCCCGUGAAAUAUUCUGAACAUACUGGCACUAAAAAUAUUAUUCAUCAUUUAUCUAAAAUUCAAAUUUAAUUGGGUAUCCUGUAUGAAAUCUGCUAAAUCCGGUGACUCUACCUAUAUGGUGCUCUCUUCUUGCCCCAGACAGUCAGGUGCUCACCUUUGCCAGGGGCCACAGGCCCCUUUGCUUGGUCAUCUCUUCCUAUGCAGCAUAUGCUUAUGCCAACUCAUAUGAAACAUGUGGCCUUGGGCGCGGUGGCUCACGCCUGUAAUCCCAGCACUUUGGGAGGCCAAGGUGGGUGGAUGACCUGAGGUCAGGAGUUUGAGACCAGCCUGGCCAACAUGGUGAAACCCUGUCUCUACUAAAAAUACAAAAAAAUUAGCCGGGCAUGGUGGCGGGCGCCUGUAAUCCCAGCUACUCGGGAGGCUGAGGCAGGAGAAUUGCUUGAACCUGGGAGGUGGAGGUUGCAGUGAGCUGAGAUCGCACCACUGUACUCCAGCCUGGGUGACAGUGCAAGACUCCUUCAAAAAACAAAAUAAAAGAAAGAAAGGAAGGAAGGAAGGAAGAGAGAGAGAGAGAGAGAAAGAAAGAAAGAAAGAAAAAAAGAGAGAGAGAGACAGAGAAAGAAAAAGAAAGAAAGAGAGAAAGAGAGAGAGAAAGAGGAAAGAAAGAGAGAGAGAAAGAGAGAAAGAAAGAGAAAGAAAGAAAGAAAAGAAAGAAAGAAAGACGGAUGUGGCCUUUGAGAGAGGGUCUGGGUUAGACCUAGACCAGUUCUAGGCCUGAUAACUGUUCCAGGCCUUGAUCAACGUUUGCUACAUUGAAUUGAUUUCCAAAAUAGCAGCAGUUUUAAAGACUGGAAGCAUGAGGCUGGGGGAGGUUAUGUGGUUUGCCCAGGAUCACGGGGUUGGUAAGGGGCACAGCUGCAUUCAUGCCCGCCCCGACUGGUGGGUGGAGUCUCGGCUCUGACAGCCACUGUGACCCUGGCUCUGGCCCCGGCUGGGGGAAGGCCCCUGUGCUGCAGGGAGUGGAGUCCAGGCUAGGCAGGCUUACCUCGCCCACUUUCAGGCUGCGAUGAGGGGCGAUCUUGGUGAGAUCACCAUGUUCCUCAAAGAUUUUGGAGACACCUAUGUAGGAGAGAGUCUUCUUCAGGUCGAAGGUGCCCGUCAUGUGGAGUCUGGGUACAGACACGUCUACGACCCUGGGGAAUUGACACGACAAGGGUGAGUGGUCAAGUCCUGUUGUGUUGCAGGGCAAGCCUCAGGAUACAUGACCAAUGAAACAUGUGUCCUCCCAGCCCCAAAGGUCUCCAAUCUCUCUCCAUCCACAGAAUGAGGAGGGGCUCCUUAACCCUGGGACCCUGGUUUCAAAACACCAUAAGCUCUCUGAACCGUGUCCCUGCCUCCCAGCACACCUGCCCCAGAGCCCUCUACAGGGAGUGUUCUCAAGUCUCAAGUUCCCCCGUCUCAGAGCCCCUUCAGCCACAGUCACUGAUGAUGUCCACACUGUAGUCGCUGCCAUGCCUGAGCCCUGAGCCCAUCCUGACCCCAGAAGACCUGACACUGGAGGGAACAAGGCACCCAGAAUCUGGAGGUAGACAGAACUGAGUUCAAAUCCACUCUGCCUCUCAUGAGCUCUGUGACCUUCCCUCUCUAAGUCACUUGUGUGAGAAGGAAAAUGAUCACCGUCGCUCCUGCGGGACACUAGGGGUGCUAAGGCAAAUGCAGACAAGGCACUCAGCAGACAGUUGGUGCGUAGCAGGUGCCCAUCCUCCUGCCCUCCAACUAGCAGCUUCACAUCCUCUGUGGCUGAACCGCGAUCAGCCUCCUGCCCGGAGCCUGGGGCCCAGGCUCUCCUGAGGUACCUGCAGACCCUGGAUUCCCGUUCACCUGGCCUUGCACCCUAUUUUCCCACCUACCCAAGGAUCUCAUUCCUGCCUAUGUGUCCUCUCUCUCCUGCAUCAUCCUUAAACAGUGCCCCUUUGAUCCUCCUCUGGAGGAGGCCUCAUGCUAGAGUGACCCUAUCCUCAAAAACUAACACCAAGAGAUCUCUCUUGGCCCUGAAUAGCCUCUCCAGCUUCCAGCUCAUUUCUUUUCUUCCUUUUAUAGCAGCUAUCUCCACUCCCUCCCACAAUUGCCUCAGUCCACUCCAGUCGGCUCUUUGACCUCAACUUUUUAUGGAAGCAACUCUUUCCAGAGUCACCGUUGACAACCAGCCCCACGUCCCAGAGCCAGCUCUCAGUGAGCCGCACGUGAUGGUAAUCCCUUUCUCCAAGGUGAAGCAUUCCAGGUCCACCCCUUGAGGCUUCUCCUCCUUCCCCACCACUCCUGCCCCUGUCGGGCUCCACCCCUCCCAUCUCUACCGGUGACACUGCUGCUUCCAGGCUCAGACCUUGGUCCCCUUCUCUUUUCCACCUUCACUCCAUCCCCAUACAUGUCAUUCAGUCUCACAGCUUUGAAUAUCAUCAACAGGCCCAACGACUCCCAAAUUUACCUUUCCACUCAUUCAUUCACUCAACAAACAUUUAUUAAAUCUCUACUGUAUACCAGGUGCUGUUCUAGGUGCUGGAGAUGCAUCUAUGAACAGAGCAGGCAAAGAUCCCUGCCCCUGACUGUGUGUUCUAGCAGGGAAGACAGGUGAUAGAAUCAACACAACAAAAAGUACCACUUAAGCCUACAUACAUGUACUAGCGGUAUGCAGAAGGCAGUAAGUGCUAUGGAAAAAAAUAAAUAGAUUGACUUGCAGGAAUCGAGGAUUGGUCCAAAGUUUGAGCAAACCUUGAGGCAGGCAAGAGAGUUAGACAAAUUGGGGUUUUUUUUCCUGAAUAAAAUGGGGAGUCACUGUCGGGUUUUGAACAGAGGAGUGACAUAGUCUUGCUUAGGAUUUAAAAGGAUCAUUCUGUUGCCUCUGUUAAGAAUAUACUCUUGGUGGUGGUGGUGUGUGUAGUGGGGAUGGGCAAAAAUUGAUGCUGGGAGACCAUUUGGAAGCUAGUGUGGUAGUCACAUGUUGGGAGCCACAGAGACGGCGGAAAGAUACCAAAUUCCAGAUGUGGUUUGCUGUAGGCUAAAGGAGUUUCCUGACAGACUGAAUGAGGCAUUUGAGGGUGGUCAGGGUGACUCCAAGGUUUUUGGCUUGAGCAACUAAAAAGAUGGAGUCACCACUGAUUGAGAUGGGCAGGCUUGGGGAGGUUCUCUGGGGACAGAUCAGGAAGUCAUUCUGGAUGUGUUGACACUAAGCUCCAAUUACACAUCCUGGGGACAUUCUGGGUAAACAGAAAGAUCCACGACUCUGGAAUUUGGGGGAGAACAGGGGCUGGGGAUGGAAGCAUGGCAGUCGUGGUAAUAGAGAUGGUGUUUAAAGCUCUUAGCCUGUGAGCUCACUCAGGGGUAAGUAUAGACAGAAAAGAAGGCUGGGAACUGAGCCCUGAGACACUCACCUCUGAGACCUGGAGGAGGAGAGGGGUCUCCAGCAAAGGAGAUUGAGGAGGGGAGAGGUGGGAGGUGAUGUGAGAGUGGAGAGCUGGAAGCCAAAUGAAGAGUGCCUUAAGGAGGUGGGGACAGAAACCAGCCGAAGAGCGAGGCCUGAGACUGACUGCACUCUGCAACACAGACACCCUUGGGACCCUGGGAAGGGAGCUUUCUGUGAGAAGUGGGUGCAGAAGCUGGACUGGAGUGGAUUUAGGAGAGGAUGAGAGGAACUAGGGGCUGUGAACAGAGGCAACUGCUUCAUGGUAUUCACCUGCAAAGGGGGAGUGACGAAAUGGAGGAAUAACUGGGGGAAAGCAGAGGUCAAGAGAAGCUUUUAUGUUGGGAAAAAUAAUAGCAUUGAGAUUUCCUGCAGGCCAGCACAAGCCAUACAGGCCUGCCUGCACAGAAGGCAGACACCUGCUUUGUCUUCUUGCAUAGAAGCCACUUCUAUGAGCUGUAAGUUUUCCCUGGCCCCCUGCGAGGUUUCAUGAUAGGAAAGAUAAGGGCAUCUUUGUAUCUGAUGGAAAUGAUUCAGAAGAGAGAAAAACAUAUGCUGAUGUAGGAAAGUGAGGAGAGGAUUUCUAGGGUGAUGUUCCUGAGUAGCAGGGGGCCGUAGGUCCAGUGCGUAAAUGAGGAGAUCGGCUUUAGUUUGUGCCAACGUGGGAAGGCACUAAGUGCAGCUGUGCUGACAGGCAAGCCCCCUGUCCUGCAAGAGGAUUUGGAGUUUCUUCUCGGGAAGGUGGACAAUACCCUGUCUGUCAUUCCAAGGCCAGAAGUGACUGGGUAGGCAAGACAUCCCUGGGGUGAGAGGAACCUUCCUUUCUAUGGCCCUCCUGGUGGGGAGGCCUGGCCUCAAGUCAAGGAGAUGCGGAAAGCAGUCCCAGAGGGAUGGGGGAGGCAGACCAGGCACUAGAAAAAUGGAAGGAGGUGCCCUGGAAGAGAUGCUGAGAGCAGCCUACACUUGGACUUCACAAGACGCCACUGAGAGCAGCCUGCACUUUACACCUGGACUCCACAAGACACCACUGAGAGCAGCCUACACUCUACACUUGGACUUCACGAGACGCCACUGAGAGCAGCUUACACUUGGACUUCACAAGACGCCGCUUCUGUGCGCUUUUCCUUUGCUCCUCACCCUUUCAUACAGACUGCCACUCACCCUUGAAGACUUGGCUCAAAUGCUAUCUCCUCUAUGAAGUCCUCCCUGACCACCGCCCUCCAGUAAGACUCCAUCUACUGCGCCCUCACAGUCUUGAUGAAUCUCCCUCAAAGAGCCAGGCACUUCACUCUAUUCCUAUGAUUUGUUCCCCAGUCUAAUUCUCACCAUGAUAUAAGUUUAUUAUAGAGCCCAGAAGAGGACUUGGCCAUGAGGUAAGAGCUCAGACAGCAGAAAUAAGAGGGAAGACAAGAGAAGGAAAAAGCUGCGAGGGCUAGGCACCCACUUUACCUGCGUGACAGUAAUGUUUUCCAUCUGGAGAAAGUGUCCACCUGCAAUCCCUUCUCCAAGUGCUUCAGCUUGCCCUCAUCAGGAAGGAUGAAGAUGGCUGUGAUAUUUUUCUGGUAGGGUAUUUCCAGGAUGGUGCAAGAGAGCUUAUCGUCAUAGCCAACUUGGUAUAUGCCACUACGGAACAUCAUGGGCACCUUGACUGAACUGUUUUUCUCCAGAAAGAAAUCUUCCUCUUUAGUUACAUUUGGAUCAAACUCAUGUUUCCACCUGGCUUAGAUUGAAGAAAGACAAACAGACAUGUUAUCCCAAGGGAAAAAAGGUGACUAAAUCCAACUAACCAGUAGUCUCUCUCCACACAGAUUCAGGGUGAAAGGGGAUAUUCCGGGAUAUCAGGGAAGUCCUUGCCCUCAUGCCAUGUCCUGGAGAUUUCUGAUGAUAUGGGCUCAGGUGCAAUUAUUAGUUCCCAAAGAAGCCAGGACUAGACUGCCAAAUUAAGAGGGGAAAAGAAGACUACCAUAAGCUCAGGUUCCCCUAAGCCUGAGAAAGCCCACUGAUUAUGUCCUAACAGAGGGGACUGCAUUACAAUUAAUGAGGGCUAAUUGAGUCUGAUGUGAGUAGACUCUUCUUUAGCCAUCAAUCUGCCUGUGGAUUUUGAGAACCCUCAAUUUUUUAUAUUUAGUACCAUGUUCCUGACACUCCAGCAGUGAUUUUGUCUGGACUGAUGGGUGUUGGCCUCUGAUUCUCACCUAUUUUGGCCAACCUGUUUGUGUACAUGUGUUCUGUGUGGUGUUGGGGGAUAAAGUUGAAAUUGGAAACAUUCUUCCAUCUUUUUUUUCUGUCUCUCUCCAUCAGAUCUGGGAAAUAUAUAAAGUCUGAUAAGGAGAAUUUAUAUAAUACAUACAUAAGGAGACCCACCAAGUGAUCACCAUCACCAUAAUCAACACAAUCACCAUCUCAGGUGUCUGCUUAAAGUGCUGGAAAGCACACAGUGCUAGGGCCAGGAGAAAUGUGUUCCAGUCCUGACUGUCAAUGAUGGGCUUUGUAACUUGGAGUAAGUCAGUUAAUCUCACUCUGAUUUUUUUUUCUCAUCUAAGUGAUGGGAACAAAAUGUCAUUCCAACCUCUAUAACCAAUGUUGUGUUAGGAUAAUCACCAAUAAUGAAAAUGAUAGACUUCAUAAAGCUCAUUUCACAUACAUUUUCACUUUAAAUCUCAAUAACUGUAUGAGUUAUGUAUCAUGGUAACCAUUUUACAGAUAGGAAAAGUGAGGUUUUGAGAGAUAAAUCACAUAUGAAUUCAAGGUCACAGAGUAAACAAGUGGCCAACCCAGGUUUUUAACCCAAGUCUAGUGGUCAUCCUAUUCUUUCCACACCAACAUGCCAAAAGCCUUACCUCGAAAGAAAAUAUAAUUUGCAAGAAGCAUCACAGUGCCGGGGUCUAUAUUCUCGAUCAGGUUGUUAAUUUUCC
rnacentral:lncRNA from 10 species